rnacentral:rRNA from 1 species
CCUUUGGUAUUCCAAAGGGCAUGCCUGUUCGAGCGUCAUUUGUACCCUCAAGCUUUGCUUGGUGUUGGGCGUUGUUUGUCUUUGGCCUUGCCCAAAGACUCGCCUUAAAACAAUUGGCAGCCGGCCUACUGGUUUCGCAGCGCAGCACAUUUUUGCGCUUGCAAUCAGCAAAAGAGGUUGGCCAUCCAUCAAGACUACAUUUAUACGUUUGACCUCGGAUCAGGUAGGGAUACCCGCUGAACUUAAGCAUAUCAAUAAGCGGAGGAAAAGAAACCAACAGGGAUUGCCCUAGUAACGGCGAGUGAAGCGGCAACAGCUCAAAUUUGAAAUCUGGCUCUUUUAGAGUCCGAGUUGUAAUUUGCAGAGGGCGCUUUGGCUUUGGCAGCGGUCCAAGUUCCUUGGAACAGGACGUCACAGAGGGUGAGAAUCCCGUACGUGGUCGCUAGCUAUUGCCGUGUAAAGCCCCUUCGACGAGUCGAGUUGUUUGGGAAUGCAGCUCUAAAUGGGAGGUAAAUUUCUUCUAAAGCUAAAUAUUGGCCAGAGACCGAUAGCGCACAAGUAGAGUGAUCGAAAGAUGAAAAGCACUUUGG